ensembl:lncRNA
AUGGAGCUAGAGAGGGAGGUGGCAGAUCUCCAGCUCAGGCUCCGGGCGUCCCAGCAGAAGGAGGAUGCUGUGUCUCUGUCACAGCAACAAAUCAGCAGCCUCAAGGCACAGGUUCAGUCUCAGGAGAAGAAGAUCAGUGAGCUGAGUGUUGACCUGGAGAGCAAACAGAAAGAGCUUCAGUCUGUACAGCAGGAUAAGACGUCUUUGGAAGAACAGCUAACCAGUCUGAGAGAAAAGCUUGAGACAGCUGAGGAGGAGAACAGGAAGGCAGCAAAGACGAUGCAAGGUAAACAUAUCUGCUGUAUAUCUGCUACCUUUAUUCUCAUUUCAGUGUGUGAUUUGUUAAAGCUGCUAUCUCUUUUCUGUUAGGAUUGGAGCAGAUUGUGGAGUGUUCGACGAAAGACUACCAGACACUGAAAGAGGAGAAUCAGUCCAGGGAGAAAGAGCUAAGAGCCCAGCUGACACAGGUAAGUGUGCACAUGCAGCUCCUAGUGCAGGGGUCUGCAACCUUUUACACCCAAAGAGCCACUUGGACCCGGUUUCCACGCAAAAGAAAACACUGGGAGCCGCAAAUACUUUUUGACAUCUAAAAUGAAGAUAACACUGUAUAUAUUGUUUUCUACCUUUGUGUGAACAACUAAGGUGUGCUGCUUAUGAAAUCCUUGAAGUGCUACAGAGAAAAUUACAUUUUAUAUAUGUAAUCAACACAUUUUGAACUCUUAAAGAAAUAUAACAAAAGCAACAAGUUGAACUAAAAUGAUCCAUGUAGCAAACAAAAACUGUUGUGAGCCGCCUCCCUUAUAUCUCCUUUGGGCUUUUGGAGCCUUGACCUGACUUUUAAAAAAUAAUUGGUAAAAAAGCUCUAUGCUGCUGAAAAAUGAAAAAUAGAUAUUUGCAAAAUUCUGCCUAAAUAUGUAUUUUACCUGGUUAAUGCAUGCGGCGGGGGCGUGGUCUGCAGCGCCGCUGCAGGGGAGGCGGACGCACCUGAGCGGCACCCGCAAUCACGCCUCGCCGCCUUAAAGUCUGUGCUCUCUCUGCUGUUGUUGUUGUUGGUGUGUGUCGGGCUGUGAGCUGCGAAGCUACAGCCGGCUGUAUGCGUACAGCAACCGUGUGUGAAAAGUGGUCAAUAAAGAGAUGCUGAAAAGCGCGUUCAUGCAAACAUCGUCGGGUCUGCCGUGAUGUGUUUACAAUGGGACUUCUGAUCCUGAACCUCUGCUCACAGCGUCUGCUAAUCGGUGCUGUGCGAAGUCAGUUUACGCAGAACUGUAAGCUGUCAUCUGUCGUCUGUGAGGCGUGAGCAGUGUUUGUCUUUAACAUAGUUCACGGUGGAGCUGCUGACAUAAUGUGGAUCCGAAGAUCCAUAAUUGGCCUACCUGGGGUUGAAAGUCUCGAUAAAUGCACGGUGUUUCGGCGGGAAUACCGACUUCCGCGAGUGUGACGCUUAUAUUGAGCGAGGAAAAAAUAAUAGAAUAUAAUUUUAUAUUUAUAUUUCAAUAUCACAAUAAUCUUCCAAUUUAGAACUACAAGUUUAAAAGAACUAACAUAAAUAAAAUACACUUCAGCGAAAUACUUCUAAUUUAUUUUCCCAAACCACGCGGAGCCGCACUAUAAGGACUAAAGAGCCGCAUGCGGCUCGCCGACCCCUGUCCUAGUGCAAUGUAAGUGUAAGAAAUACACUUAUUCAAGAUGUUCAGUUUGACGUUACUCACGUUUAAUUUUCAUUAAUAUUUUAUUUUUGUUUUUUGUUUUUUUUACUGUGUUACAUUUACAGUAUACCAGCGUUUAAAUAAAGCAUUGUACUUUUGUUUUUUUGUGUUUUGUGUCACACCACAAAUGGCACUGUGUUUCACAAUUUUUCUUUUCUUUUGUCUUCAUUUUCUAUUUCUUUUUUGUGUAUCGUCUCACUACUACGCAAGAGGAUUAGAGCCACUGGGCCGCUUUUUCCUUUUUUUCUUUGGCCCUAUUCCUCUUCCAUACAGUACCCAUUGUAUAUACAUUGUCAGGAUUUAGAUUGCAUAUUGUAUUUUUAAACCAUCUGUUCAUUUGACUGUAAAAGCCCAUACCCACAAUCCAAACAUUUGUCCUAACACCAUACAAAAAAAUAAAUAUUUAGAGUAAUUUCAUAGUAAUUCUCUAGAAAGAAAAGCUGGCGAGAUAUUGACCCUAAUUCGAUACAAAUUACUGAUAAGUAAAACGGUUCAUUUAGCAAUUUAUUGUGACUGACAUAUUAUCUUGGUAAUUUGGGCAUUUUAAUUGAAUUAAUGAGUGAAAUUUUACAUCUAGUAAUUUCUUAUAAUUUUAUUGCCAUGAAAAGUUUGUGUGUGUGUGUGUGGUGUGUUUGUUUGUUUUUGUCUCUCUGUAUGGACAUCCUGCAAAUCAAUUUCCCAUUGGGGACAAUAAAGUUACCAUUGACCAUUGACCACUGACAGUAUUAUUUCCAGAAAUUUUGAGAGGAAUUACAGCUUUUGCCACUGUUAGCCAGCGUUUGUGAAACUUUCUUUGAAGUGAAUCUAACAUUGCUGGACUUGGACACUCAGUGAAUAAACUGUCUUACAAUGUGAGAAUGUAAUCAAACCAAAGUGUAGCUUUCAAGACACUCAAGGCUAAUAUUAGCUUAUAAGCAGCUGUUGUUUGUUUAGCCAGCUUGUUGUCAGCUGUCUUGAGACGGAAGUGUUGAAUGUUUAAUCUGCUGAUAAUAAAUCUGACAUUAUUGUUUGUGUAUGUUACAACACUGACUACAGUUCAGGAGAUAAAGACUGAGGUAAAGAGGAAAAGGGUGAGGUAACAUGAGAAGACAAUGCAAUGGUGGACGUGGGAGAUGAAGUUAAGAAGAAAGGCAUAUUGAAAAAGACAUUAAAAAUGUACUUGUACACAUGUUAAAUGGUCAAAUAUAACAGGUAGCUUUAAAGAGCUAUCUGUUAGCUUUAAAGAGCUAUCUGUUAUCCUUAAAUUAAGGCACACUACGUAUGUGGCCGGUCUCUAGCCACAUAUACUGUAUAAAACGCGAUUAGGUGGAAUGACAAAGCCCAUAUAGGCAACAAUAUUCAAGAUGGUGGGGCAACAUGGCGGCUUCCGCAACGUGGCACCCACUCCAGAUUAUGAAACAGUGCUACAACAAUUCCUAUAGAAGACUUUUGGUCAGUUCCUUUACCACUUUUACAUUCCCAGUAGUCUCCUUUUUUGUUUUGUUUUUUUUACAAAUCAAACAUGGUGGGAGAAAAUGUAUAAAUGCAGCAAUGAAAAAUUGAAAAACUAGACUGUUUUUUCCUGCUAAUGAAUAUCUACUGAAUGCAUGUAGUCUUUUUUUCUACUGCUUUUGUUUCUGAAAGUAGACAGGACAGUUUGCACUUCUUUUUUCCCUAAAGCCAUAGCUUUCAUACUUCUGUUCAUGCUUCAAGAAACUCAUUGGAGAUUAAUGUAAGGGUGAAACAGCAUGAGAAUCUUGAGGCUGACUUUCCUUUUUUAGCCAACAUCCUUAAUGAGUUCUAAUCUCUCUGUUCUAUUAAUAGAAUACUGUUUUUUGAGUGCUAAUAUGAUUCUGUUUGACUCUGUCCUUAGUUUUUUAAAGUGGUUUGUUUAGUUAUCCAAAACAGAAACAAGACUCAGGGAAGGUGUAUGCAUUACCUCUACAGUGACUAAAUCUACCACAGUGUGUGAGGUGCACUCUACCUGGUAGCUUUUUUAACCCAAAGUAUCACUUAGUGAAUAAGUAAUUGUAAAUAGUCAUUAGUAAUUAAUGAAAAAAUUUGUAUGUUAACUUUUUUAUACAUCCAGAAGGAAAAUAGGCUUGUUGUUAAACAUAUGCAUUUCUUUCUGUACUAUAACAUACAUCUCAUGCUGGCUGCAUUAUAUAUUCCAGGCCACUGAAAAGUCAGAGAGGUUGGCCCUUUCGCUGGAGCAGUUGACCCUUGACAAUAGAACACUGGAGACACAGGUGAGCAGAGGACUUUCACUGGAAAUAUGUGGGAUGAUGUUUAUCACCUGUGGAUACUGUGGAUAUACACUGCUGUGACUGAGGUCAACACAAUGGUUUUACAAGUUCUAUUCUAUCCCUUGUUCUUGUUAUCUUCUCUUUCACCAGUGUUAGCUGUUAGCUGAGCCCUGCCUCCCUGAUAGUUACUGCACUUGCUAUGCUACUUUGUGUGCACUCAUCAGUUUACAGAAUGGUGGCAGAAUUACCAUAGAAGUUCCAAUAAGUUCAAGCUGUUUCAAACCAAAGCAGUUUCUUAUUUUGAGCCGUUGAUUGUGUCACCCGACAUGAUGUCUGUCUCUAACAGAUGUUCUUGGCUGUAGCUAAUCAGUCAGUUGAAAAUAUUUUCUAUAGCUGUCUUUAUGUUAUUUUUUAAUUUUUUAAAUUUUUUAUGAAAAUUCAAAAAUGUUGCAUAUAGGCUUGAUGGUGACAAGAUCGAGGCGACAACAACGUUUCCCAAAAUAGCUUGUAAAAGUAUUGCCAAACAUAUUUUAAAGUAAUUUGUUUCAUCUUCAACAUUUAACGGAUUCCUCUAUUAAUAGACUUUUGGAAUGAAGACUAACACUGUUUGGCUGUUGAAACAAUAUCUCACAUUAGCCUUUAUGCUCCAGCAACUGCAAUUGCUAGAGCAUAAACUAGUAUUUUGUAGGGCAGGUCAGAGCUGCUUAACUUUAUCUUGUGCUGUGUUCCAUUUGAAGUGGGAAGUCAGAAAUCCUACCUUUUAAGUUGAAAUCAACUGGAAUGCCCCCUUGAAUUGUACGUCUCACUUAAAAAGUGGGAGAAGCCUCACCAACCCCAACUUUGUAAUUCAACAUAGGAGUAGUUCAUGUAAACAUGAGAAAAAACUGUAAAACUGUGUUAAACAGCGUGCUCACGAGAUCUAAAUUUAAAUUUUUUAAAAUUGUUUGCACUUUUUAAAAAAUUAUUUACACUUUAUUUUAGUUUUCAUAAUAAUUAAUUAUAUGUCCAAAUUGAAAUGAAAUACCAGUAAUUCUUCAUGACUCUAAGAAUUUA